ACAGACCCUGCAUUGUGAAACAAUAAGAAAGAAGGCAGCGUCAUGAGCAAACCAGUCCCCAGCAUUCUCUUGGAGGUGCUGAGCAAAUGGCUGAGCUCAGCUUCCAAAUCACUUUUAAACCAGGAUGCCAACACCACAUCCAGAGAGCCAGAUUGUUUGUUAAACUUCCUCCUGCACAGUGUGCUGAAGUAGCAAUGCAGUUACCCAACACCAAAUCUACCAAGGACUUUUCAAACCAUUUCCUGGUUUGCACCUAGCUCUUGAAAAAUGAUGGUGGUUACAGAGAGGAAGGUUAUGGUGGUGAAUCAGAGGAAAACUAUGUGGGAACCACAGCUCUAUUCAAAAAGGUCCCUUUAAAAAGACUGAGUCUCACUCUGUUCCCAGGCUGGAGUGAAGUGGUAUGAUCCCGGCUCACUACAACCUCCGCCUCCUGAGUUCAAGUGAUUCUUGUGCCUCAGCCUCUCCAGUAGCUGGGAUUACAGGAAUGAGUGUAAUAAACAAUCACAUAGCUGGUCACAGUGAAGACUGGUACAUCUUGUCUGGAUAGCAAGUGACAAAAUGUUUCCAAGCCCUAAAGCUGAUUAUCCUCUUUGAUGCAAACAUCUGUAUAUGAUCUAUAAAGGUUCCCUCUUGAAAUAGAGGAGUGUGGCACUUCAAUGAGGAACCAGGUUGGAUCUGGCAACUUUGGCUCAUAGUGACAAGGAUGAAGAUGGUAGCUUUUUACAUGAAUAUUUUCCCACUGGAAUGGGUCCUCAAUAGAGAAAGGAUGGUGCACUUUAUGGAGAUUCUACAAUCCACUGAACAACCACAAUCAGCUCAUUUCACAAGUUUAUGGCUUAAGACUAGACUUGGACAAGAAGAAAUGGCUGUGUCAUUAUAUACUUAACUUACAUCCAUUGAAUCCUUCACUAAAAACCCACAACAUGUGUAUGUUGGGCAAGAAGACAACAGAGAAGGGGAAGAGGAGCUUUUUCAAACGGCCCUUUCUAACAGAGAGAUGUUGUUACAGGGAAUAUGUUGAUAUAGAAAUGGCUAGAGGCAGAAAAGCAGUUUAGAACCACUUCCUUCCUUAAGUCUCACAGCUCCAGCUUAAGCUCUAAUUCGUGGAGGCCAUGGUGCCAUUUGAGGGCACUGAAGCAAUAACUUGUCACACAAUACCUCUCCAAGAGUGCCGAACUUAAAAGCAGUUCCCAAACAGUUUAGACAGAACACUUGGCUCAUUGCCUCACAUCCAAAAACUACAAAGGAGACUUGAAGCUGCCAUCACAUGAGGGGCAGUCUUGUUUCCACAACCUCAGCCAACUUUUAAUCACUCAUGGGUCAAUGAUUUGACUGCUGGAUUAGCAGACCCUACGUUUCUUCCCUUCCACCCUUUCCUGUCCACCUUUGAAAGUCAUUUCAUUGCUACCAAUCACUUUCAAAUCACAUCGGGCACAAAAAUUAAAUAUAAACUGAGUGCUAAGAAGAAAUAUCCACAAAUCAGAAUUCAAGUAAGUGUUUCAAAGCCCAAACAUAAAUGAGCUCUGUCUAUGUGGCUAAGCAGUUUUCCACCCCCUGGUCUCUUCACAUUAUUCAGAGUUGGAAUGUUCAUUAAUUUCAUGUGAAUAUAAGAGUUGAGGAGAGGAAUGAAAAUGCAGCCAAACACAACCAUCACAUUUUGCUGAAAGAGUUGAUGGGGAAAAAAAACAGGCACCAAUGGUUGUUGUAUCACCUAACUGGGCUUUACAUUGCUAGUUUCAUUCCGUCCUUUAUGAGUACACAUUGUUGUGUGUUUUAACUUGGAUUCAAUAUUUCAGCUACUUCUUAUUUUCUACCAUUGUAACAUUAAAGGAAACUGCAUCUCUGCAUAAAACAAAAGGUAAUAUAGCUUGUAGGUUUGCUUUGCAUUGCAAAGAACAUACUUGCUUAAGACAAUCAAGUGUCAAACCAUGGAUACCUGCUACGGAGAUUCCAAUUGUGGGAUCUUCUUUUAUCAACUAAAAAGCUUAAUGCCCAGUGUGAACAUCCACGCUGUGCCAACAGUGAAGAGAUCAGACACAUGCCAACAUUAUUAGUGUGGGUAAAAUGUCAAUAAAGCAGAGCCAGUGUGCUGAAAGCCUAAGUACAUUAACUCCAUGCCUUUAUCCACUUCUCCUCUUGCAGUGAAAUUCUGUCCUGUCAAAGUUGACUUCAUAAUCAUGUGCUCGAUGAAAUGAUAUAUGCAUGUGAUGGCACAAAUUAUGCAUCCAGUUAUUAAAAUGGUGCCCCACAGCCCUAUCCCUGCAAGUGGUUUCCAAAUAAAUUACUUUGGAUGAAGCCUGGUAGAAAAGAUGACCAUCAAGUGUAGUAUAUCCUUUAGAGGAAUUAACUCAGGAAAUAACUUACAUAAUUACUGUAAGCUUUAUUUCCCUUCCUCUUAAAGAGUCUAGUGAAUGUAACAAGGCCACAGCAUUCUUCUGUGAUGUUAUGGCAACUAAAUAACAAGAUGUUUUAUAAAUACUGAC